rnacentral:rRNA from 1 species
UACGUAGGGUGCGAGCGUUAAUCGGAAUUACUGGGCGUAAAGCGUGCGCAGGCGGUUUUGUAAGUCUGUCGUGAAAUCCCCGGGCUCAACCUGGGAAUUGCGAUGGAGACUGCAAGGCUAGAAUCUGGCAGAGGGGGGUAGAAUUCCACGUGUAGCAGUGAAAUGCGUAGAUAUGCGGAGGAACACCGAUGGCGAAGGCAAUCCCCUGGGCCUGCACUGACGCUCAUGCACGAAAGCGUGGGGAGCAAACAGG